UGAACAGCAGGCUCGUGCUCUUGAUGGAGGACCCUAUUGGGCAACAAGAACCGUGUGUACUCACCACUUUCUGCUUGGACACACACAAACAAUUGGACACGUCUGGAGAGCUUGGGGCCCAAACCCUGAGGAAGGGCAGAUGGUGCCCGGGAUUGAGGACCGCACCCCCAUUAACAUGAGAAAAGAGAGGAGACAGAGGCGGGGGAACAGGAGGCAUCUUUUAUCUAAGAAACAUAAGCACUUCUGUUGCCACAGCUGCAGAACGCAGCGCUGGAGCUUCUCUCUGGGUGGAAUGAGGCCGCACUGUUGUUUUGACUCAUUAAUCACACCAGCCACAGUGUGAUAGCUUCUUAUGACUACAUUAUUACUUUCUGAGAUGAAGUGUCUUCCUAUAUCUCUUUUAUUCCAAAAUAAACUUAAACUAAA